rnacentral:lncRNA from 1 species
AAAAAGAGCGCUUAAAGAAUGCUUCAAAAUUGCAUAAAUUGCAUUAAUUAAAAAUAAAGAAAUGGAGCUCCAAAGGAGACAGUUUGGGGUGUUUUUUUUUAUAGGAAAUACUUUUAAAAUACUUUUAACUUUCCAUGCAAAAAAAAUCUCAUAGCAGCAGAUCUAAAUAUAAAGAGGCUGCCUAUUGGGCGCCUUUUAACCUUUUCUUUCUUUUUAUUUGAUUCCCAAAAAUUCUCCUAGAAAACAAAUCAAAAUGCACACAUCGAGGGUUACAUUUUGAAAAUAAUUUCCGCUUCGACAAGUUCUUCAUUUGACAAGUGCCCGUGCACCCCACUGUGCCACUCCUCCGCUUUAAGCUGUCCUCUUCCAAGCGAGAGCGGGAGGGCAUCUACUAUGUGAAAUGUUGCUCCACGUAUCCUGCAGCAAUUCGUAAACUAAUUCUACAUACGUGCCCGUGCCCGUGCUCGCUGCCUGCUCCUUUUUUUGGGGUUCCCGCAGAGCAACCAAAUCGUUACGUGCGUUGCCCGGGCACUGUCUCUGUCUCUCUCCUGGCUGUAUGUGCGUCAUGUUUUGAUUGGCGUCAUGUACACGAAUGGAUUCGGAACGGUUACGGCAUGGCAGUGCAGCAAAGGCAAAGGGAACCGGAACCAUUUUUUGCUAAUAAAUAAUUGCAUUUUCACCUCAGGAACCCACCGACAGACGUUGCCCGGCGGGACUGCAGUCUCUGGGGGGAGUGACACAAUUCAAUUUUCCGGCAUUUCCGUAACGUCUGCACGAAGGGGGGAGGUGCUGCAUAGAUAAGACAGCGCGGAGCGGGAUAGAGAAUUUGCCAUUCCAUUUCUGAUUUCAUAUUUUGCUGUCACUGUGAAAUGAUUCAAUUUUACAGAUUUCUGACACAGGGCACACACACACACACACACACACUGACGCAUUUUGCAUCUGUGUUUGUGUAACAUUUUUUGUUGCAUACGCAAGAGUCGUCCUCGUCCUCGCACUCCUGCUCCUUUUUGUUUUAUUUUGUAUUUUGCCUGGCAAUCAAAGCGCCACAUUGGAUGAUUGACAGGCGAAUUGGUAUUUCCUUUUGUUUUUUGGUUGAGUUGAUAUCUUGCAGCUGUGUAUCUAUGGUUAUGCCCCAGACAUCUAUUGCCACUGCCCCUCUUUGCUGUCAAAAUGUUCCCGAUUGAAGACAUUAAAAAUUCGACUUUUUGAUUUAAAAAUUCCAUGAAAAAACUUGAACUCAUUUCAGCUGUGAUUGAUUCAAAUUGAAUAUUCAGCGGCAAAGAGAAAAAUGC